UAAAACGCUAGGAAUGAGAGAGUAUGUAAAUAAACUUUAACAGAGAGCUUUUGGCUGGUGGAAAAAAAGCAAAGAAUAUUUACGGAAGAUGGCUCAGGAGCGGUGCGCCAAACCGUUAAGAACGCUUAGGCCGCAACAGGUCUGCCUGUUAUAGCAUGAAAGUAUAACUAUCUGAAAGGGUAACGUACUUAAUAAGUUCCUCUGCCGUGAGGUAGGGAUAAAUUGAAGUGGUAACACGGGUAACACUCGUCUUCUGU
rnacentral:ncRNA from 1 species